UCUUAUUCAAAAGAGAAAACAUCACAUGAGAUUUAAGCAUAGCAACCUUAACUUGACAUUUAAAGUUUACAAUUAUAUAGGUAUAUUACACUAGCAGUAGCUAAACGUAUUCUAAUUAUGUUUUAGUUUCAGGGGAACGAAUUGUGCGUUGCUCGAUUCAUGAUUCGUUUUCUAGUUGUAUUUGUAAUUUUCCGUUACUUUCUAUUUUAAGUAUCACCUGAUGUGCGAUGUAACAUUAAAAUGGCAUCAAUGACUUAUUCUCAUAAACUGAUGGAAUCUAAAUACCAUAACUGGAUUAAAGCUGGUUUAGCUGUGCUAUUUACCAAAGAAGGAAUUCAACAAUUUGUUUAUGAUGAAAUCGAACAGUUUCAGCAAAAGUGUUUGACUGACAUUUGCAACAGUGAUGGAAUUCCAGUUGGAACAACGUGUUCAAGCUGCUUCACAGAAAAUAUUGUAGUUUGUCAUACAAAUAGAAUAUGCAAUGUAAGACACGGGGACUGUAGUUUUCAUAGAAACGCUGCUAGGCUAUACAACCCUGCAAGCUGCCCAAAUAAAAUAAGUCAUGACUUCAAAACAAAAAUAGAGAAAGCUCAUCGUUACAACGGUCUAUCUUAUCGUAAUACGGACGCUACACAGUGGUGCAGCAAUCCAUGGGAAGUUGCCAAAUGUUUCAUGCCCACCGGAUGGGUACAUGGAUGUGACAAAUGCAGCUGAGACGGACUUCAGUGGAAUCAUCGGUGUUAUCAUUAACUACAAAGGCUUUCAAUCAAACGUAUACGAUAUCAAUAUCUUUGACAAAGGAAAUGCUGAACAAUUUGAGGCUGAAAAUCUGAUUUUAUUAAUUUACUUGUCAUAGAGGGUUCAUAGGAUGCUCUAGUGUUCUAGAGGUUGAAUUUUCAAAUUCAUAAUGAGUUACUAUUGAGGUCAUGUAUCCUCAUGGAAAAGCAAAUGUUCCCGACGAUUUUGUCAAUAAGUUUUCAAAUUAAUGUUUAAUGUGAAUUUGAUAAACAUGAUAAAUGAAUGUUGUACUCUCUGUUGCUUACUUGCAGGAGAGAGAUAUCGGCAAAUUUGUUCGACAUUCACCGACUUUUGAAGUAAAAGAUACAGACUUACAGCAGUGCUUUACUUGCUUGCAUAAUCUACUCUCGGAUCCUGGAUACUUGGCUACGAAUGCAGAUGCGCAGAAUGCUAGACGGAAAUUAUCACAGGUUGCGAAUACCUUAACAGACACCACAAGACUAUUCAGCAACUAUGUAUGAAAUGCAAUGCAACGGGAUGUGUAGCCGAUCUUCCCCCGAAGACCCAGAGGCAAAGAAGACCCGAGGUGCGUGCACAUCCGUGCAUUAUUUCAUCACGAAGUGCCACUUGAGUAGAAUUACCGACCUUCCAUAAGCCAGUUGGAUGGCUUCCUUACAUGAAGAAUUCAACGGCCUGAGUGAGGCUGGAACCCACAUCGAUGAGGGCAGAGACCUUAACCACUUUGCUACGAAAAACCCCUUUACUAUUAUUUUAAUAGCUUACAUAUAAUCAUAUGGGACCCCAUUGAAAAUGAUUCGAUUGAUGUCCCUAUUUUUAGCGUAUCAU